rnacentral:rRNA from 1 species
AACGCUGGCGGCGUGCCUAAUACAUGCAAGUGGGACGCAAGGAAACACACUGUGCUUGCACACCGUGUUUUCUUGAGUCGCGAACGGGUGAGUAACGCGUAGGUAACCUGCCUAUUAGCGGGGGAUAACUAUUGGAAACGAUAGCUAAUACCGCAUAAUAUUAAUUAUUGCAUGAUAAUUGAUUGAAAGAUGCAAGCGCAUCACUAGUAGAUGGACCUGCGUUGUAUUAGCUAGUUGGUAAGGUAAGAGCUUACCAAGGCGACGAUACAUAGCCGACCUGAGAGGGUGAUCGGCCACACUGGGACUGAGACACGGCCCAGACUCCUACGGGGGGCAGCAGUAGGGAAUCUUCGGCAAUGGACGAAAGUCUGACCAGCAACGCCGCGUGAGUGAAGAAGGUUUUCGGAUCGUAAAGCUCUGUUGUAAGUCAAGAACGUGUGUGAGAGUGGAAACGU